UCGGGAAUUUUGGGCAAUGGGCGAAAGCCUGACCCAGCAACGCCGCGUGAAGGAUGAAGUAUUUCGGUAUGUAAACUUCGAAAGGAUAGGAAGAAUAAAUGACGGUACUAUUUAUAAGGUCCGGCUAACUACGUGCCAGCAGCCGCGGUAAUACGUAGGGACCAAGCGUUGUUCGGAUUUACUGGGCGUAAAGGGCGCGUAGGCGGCAAUUCAAGUCAUCUGUGAAAUCUCCGGGCUUAACUCGGAACGGUCAGAUGAUACUGCUUUGCUAGAGUGCAGAAGGGGCAAUCGGAAUUCUUGGUGUAGCGGUGAAAUGCGUAGAUAUCAAGAGGAACACCUGAGGUGAAGACGGGUUGCUGGGCUGACACUGACGCUGAGGCGCGAAAGCCAGGGGAGCAAACGGGAUUAGAUACCCAAGUAGUCCCUGAGCGGGCUGGCAAGGCGCAU
rnacentral:rRNA from 1 species